rnacentral:rRNA from 1 species
AGAGUUUGAUCAUGGCUCAGAAUGAACGCUGGCGGCGUGCCUAACACAUGCAAGUCGCACGAGAACGCUUCAGCUUGCUGAAGUUAGUAAAGUGGCGCACGGGUGAGUAACGCGUGGGUAAUCUGCCCCCGAAUUGGGGAUAACAUUGCGAAAGCGAUGCUAAUACCGGAUAACAUCUCAAUAAUUCCGGUUUUUGAGAUCAAAGGUGGCCUCUACAUGUAAGCUACUGUUCGGGGAUGAGCCCGCGUACCAUUAGCUUGUUGGCAGGGUAACGGCCUACCAAGGCAACGAUGGUUAGCUGGUCUGAGAGGAUGAUCAGCCACACUGGAACUGACACACGGUCCAGACUCCUACGGGAGGCAGCAGUGAGGAAUUUUGCGCAAUGGGGGAAACCCUGACGCAGCAACGCCGCGUGAGUGAUGAAGGCUUUCGGGUCGUAAAGCUCUGUCAAGUGGGAAGAACCUACAGAAUGCAAAUACCAUUUUGUACUGACGGUACCACUGAAGGAAGCACCGGCUAACUCCGUGCCAGCAGCCGCGGUAAUACGGGGGGUGCAAGCGUUAUUCGGAUUCAUUGGGCGUAAAGAGCGCGUAGGCGGUCUCUUAAGUCAGAUGUGAAAGCCCGGGGCUCAACCCCGGAAGUGCAUUUGAAACUAAGGGACUUGAGUAUGGGAGAGGGAAGUGGAAUUCCUGGUGUAGAGGUGAAAUUCGUAGAUAUCAGGAGGAACACCGGUGGCGAAGGC